GGGGAUUUAGCUCAGCGGCAUAAAGCGCCUGCCUUGCAAACAGGCGAGAGUUCAAUCCCUG
rnacentral:tRNA from 1 species